UACAGAGGGGGCAAGCGUUGUUCGGAAUUACUGGGCGUAAAGGGCGCGUAGGCGGCCAACUAAGUCAGACGUGAAAUCCCCUGGCUCAACCAGGGAACUGCGUCUGAUACUGGAUGGCUUGAAUCCGGGAGAGGGAUGUGGAAUUCCAGGUGUAGCGGUGAAAUGCGCGAUAUCUGGAGGAACACCGGUGGCGAAGGCGGCAUCCUGGACCGGUAUUGACGCUGAGGCGCGAAAGCCAGGGGAGCAAAGCGGG
rnacentral:rRNA from 1 species